AGUAGACGUUCAGAGUUUGAUCCUGGCUCAGGAUGAACGCUAGCUACAGGCUUAACACAUGCAAGUCGAGGGCAGCAUGAACAAGCUUGCUUUGUUGAUGGCGACCGGCGCACGGGUGCGUAACACGUAUCCAAUCUGCCCGUUACUCGGGGAUAGCCUUCUGAAAGGAAGAUUAAUACCCGAUGGCAUUCAUUAGCGGCAUCGCUUAUGAAUUAAAGAUUUAUCGGUGACGGAUGAGGAUGCGUACGAUUAGCUAGUUGGCGGGGUAACGGCCACCAAGGCGACGAUCGUUAGGGGUUCUGAGAGGAAGGUCCCCCACACUGGAACUGAGACACGGUCCAG
rnacentral:rRNA from 1 species